GGAAUAUUGGGCAAUGGAGGAAACUCUGACCCAGCGACGCCGCGUGCGGGAUGAAGGCCUUCGGGUUGUAAACCGCUUUCAGCAGGGAAUAAGCGCAAGUGAAGGUACCUGCAGAAGAAGCACCGGCUAACUAUGUGCCAGCAGCCGCGGUAAUACAUAGGGUGCAAGCGUUGUCCGGAAUUAUUGGGCGUAAAGAGCUCGUAGGUGGUUUGUUACGUCGAUCGUGAAAUUCAGGGGCUCAACCCCUGACUUGCGGUCGAUACGGGCAAGCUAGAGUUUGGUAGGGGAGACUGGAAUUCCUGGUGUAGCGGUGGAAUGCGCAGAUAUCAGGAGGAACACCGAUGGCGAAGGCAGGUCUCUGGGCCAAUACUGACACUGAGGAGCGAAAGCGUGGGGAGCGAACAGGAUUAGAUACCCUGGUAGUCCACGCCGUAAACGGUGGGCGCUAGUUGUGCGAACCUUCCACGGUUUGUGCGACGCAGCUAACGCAUUAAGCGCCCCGCCUGGGGAGUACGAUCGCAAGAUUAAAACUCAAAUGAAUUGACGG
rnacentral:rRNA from 1 species